UACGUACCGUCCAAACGUUAUUCGGUAUCACUGGGCUUAAAGCGUUCGUAGGCGGCCUAGAAGGUGUGAUGUGAAAGCCCACGGCUCAACCGUGGAACUGCGUCGCAAACCACUAGGCUUGAGGAAGACAGGGGUGAAGGGAACUUAUGGUGGAGCGGUGAAAUGCGUUGAUAUCAUAGGGAACACCGGUGGCGAAAGCGCUUCACUGGGUCUUUUCUGACACUGAGGAGCGAAAGCGUGGGGAGCGAACCGG
rnacentral:rRNA from 1 species